UUUUCCCUCGGAGAGGUUUCCACACCCUUGUAAAGAAUACACAUCUCAAGCUAAGCAGACACUUAAUUUCCAACCUACCUAUGUAGUUUGUUGACAGUCUGACUGUUUCUCAACCAUUUCACAAUACAUAACUUCAAGAUUAUAAUCUAUUUCAAGUUCAUCAUUCAUCAAUGAAAUAUA